GACGAACGCUGGCGGCGUGCCUAACACAUGCAAGUCAGGGGGAAAGCUGGCUUCGGCCAGUGCCUAACACAUGCAAGUCAGGGGGAAAGCUGGCUUCGGCCAGUGAGUACACCGGCGGACGGGUGAGUAACGCGUGAGCAACCUACCCCGCAGACCGGGAUAACCCAUCGAAAGGUGGGCUAAUACUGGAUGAGCGCACGUGCUGCAUGGCAUGUGUGAAAAGGCAGGCAUUAAGCUUGCGCUGCGGGAUGGGCUCGCGUCCCAUUAGCUAGUUGGUGAGGUAACGGCUCACCAAGGCUACGAUGGGUAGCCGGCCUGAGAGGGUGGUCGGCCACAUUGGGACUGAGACACGGCCCAGACUCCUACGGGAGGCAGCAGUGGGGAAUAUUGCGCAAUGCCGGAAACGGUGACGCAGCGACGCCGCGUGGGCGAGGAAGGCCUUCGGGUCGUAAAGCCCUUUCAGUGGGGAAGAAAGGUCCAGGCAGUAACUGGUCUGGAUUUGACGGUACCCACAGAAGAAGCCCCGGCUAACUCCGUGCCAGCACGACCGCGGUAAUACGG
rnacentral:rRNA from 1 species